GGAGAUGUCCUAAUGGAUGGACAACUUCAGCCAGCGAGCCAGAGGAUUUGAUGGAGGGGGGGAGGACGGGACUCUCAGGCUCUGCUCCAGAUCCACUUCCUCAGCUGCAGUAUUCUGUUGAAGAGUGACAGAAACCGAGCUUCGGAAUGAAUAGCUGUAGCCCUAACAGACACUCCCCACCUGGAGACCUGACCAACGGCUGGAGGUCUGUUAUGUGAUUUGUCAGGGAGGGAGGAGAGUUUGAUCACCUUGGACUCACAGUAGCUGGGCUGUGACAGGGCAGUUCUGACCACUGGAGGAGCAGAAGCCACACUCGAUCAGCUCAAAUCCCGCGGCUGGGAAAAUCAACUUCUCAAACCGCGCUCUUGUGCGUGGACGAGGAAAAAGGCAGAAUGGAGCCAGAGGUUCAAAAUCUGCACAGUGUAGAAAGGCCUGUGUUUUUGACAGGAGGGCUGGCUGUCCCCCUGGCAGUGCACGGUGAGACUGUCGGGUCUCCUUCGUGUUGCACAGGUGUCGGUGGCUGAUAUGACACAAAGUAAUAGGCCUCUAACAGCCCGUGUGGAGAUGCAGUCAGGGCGGCUUUAGAUGGCAGCAGAUAAACCGCAGCCGCCUGGCAUUAAUGUCGACAGCGACAAAAGCAGAGCAAGCGUUCGCUGGAUGGGACUCGUCUCCGCUGUCACACGAGCUGGGCAUCCAAGACGAUGAGGAAUACCAGAAACCUUUGAGGGGGCAGGUUUCCAGCCACUGAGGGGUGACUACUGGCUACAAAAAAGACCCAAGAAGAUCAUUUUCACGUUUGUUUCCAAGCGCCGCAACCAUUAAAAAAAAAGACAGACAUACAAAAAGACUAUAAUAGCAUUUUAUUAAAUAUCUAGCUCAGUGACUUGACUCAGUUUCUACAUAUUUCAUAAUAAUAGUUUCAUGCUUAACAGGUAGAGCUCAUGCAUUACCCUGCCCACCCCCAAAGGUCUUGCAAUUUUUUUAAUAGGGUAAAUCAAUAACUUAGUGCAUGAACCCAUUAGAAAUGUAAGAGGUACACCACCACCACCACCAACAUACGGGACAUGGAGGAUCGCCAUAUGGUGGACCGUCUUAUCCCAUUCACCCAUUCGAUUUUACUCAAAGUCUAUGGGAAAAAAAGUUGUCCCUUUUUUAAAAAGUGCAUAUCCCGUGGAGACUUAAUUGGCCCGGCACCUCCAAAAACCCUGAGGGGCCCGAGCCUGGAGCCAGGUAUGCUGAGACGGGGAACGUGCUCAAAGGUUAAGACAUAUUUUCAGCUAUCAAACAGAAGCAGGGAGAUGCACGUUCAGUCAAAACAGGGACAGAAAAGAACUCCACCAUUUCCAAUUAAGAAAAUAAUCACAAUUUAAAACCUUUUCAAAGUUAAAAUGUACAGUUGCUAUAGAGGACAACAGGUGAUUUGGGUUAUCGUCUUGUUUGGUUUGAGAGAGCGAGGACAUCACGCGGGAAACAGCACGUCACACAUCGUCACAAACACACAUCUAAAGAAGCAGGAUACAGCGAUUAAAAAACAACAACAACAGAAAAGAACUCGUUACAAAAGUCGGACGGAUGCUGACAUCAUCUUUGGUGAGCUUUUACUGGCGGUGAAAGUAACUGAAGGGUUCACACCGACAACAUGAGCAGGGUCUGGGUUCACUGGACUCGCUGCAGGACAGAUUCACACUCUGACAGGUUUGCAUAAGGGGUUGUUACUCUGAUGUAGUGCAACGGGGCUUGUGUUGACAUGUGUGUUCAACCUAUAAGUGUCACUUCAGACUCAGCUGGGUUUUUUUUUAAUCAGGAUGCCUAAAAGUUUUCCUUAUGUUGGCGUCAUCUAACGAGCAAAUGAUCCAAAACCGCAAGCAUCUGUUAGGAAUUCUACACUGGCCUAUUUAAGGAGCAUUUUGUCUUGUGAUAGAAAUAUCUAGUGGGCCAACUUUGUCCAGCCCUGGUGAAAAGGUGUGAGGAGACACAUUUGGACAUCUAUCAGUCUGCUGAACUGAUCUAAACAAAGCACAGAUGGACCACCACCAUGGCUGAGCGCCGAGGUCUGGCUGUCGUUCCCUUAAUGGACGCUAGACGCUAGCAGUUGAGGUGUGUAGUACCUCAGCAUGUGUAGGAAUUCAUUCUUUAUCAUGUUAUCACAUUUUGACCACUACACGCUAAAUUUAAUGGAAGGCUUACUUCCUAAGAUCUGUCUCUGUCUACAGUCUGUGAGCAUACUCCAUUUGUAUUCAAACCAUUCAAAACCUCAUCUAUUACCAUUUCAUUAAAAAUGUGUGCUUUAACAUAAAAUAAACCCAGAAGGUAGUUUAUUAAAAACGGCCACUGCUCUGAAGAUUUUUAUCAACUCAUAGUUAAUCUGCUUCAUUAUUAAAAAAGAUUUUCAACCUAUUUCCCCAACUCUGCCUUAAAUUAAAUGUCUUUUCUCGAUUCAGCUGAAUUUAGCACGGAGCGGACAGGAAGUAAAGCGCCAACAUAAUAAACAACAUCCGGUUACUUUUCAAAAUAAAACACUCCGUGUUGACACCAGCACACGUCUUGAGGCCAGCUGUCUACCGUACUGCGCCAUGGCGGACUCAAACCGCAGCCGGUGGGGACUGCCGGAAGGCGGAGCAAAACCGGAUCGGAGCCGCAACGCAGCGGACUAUAUCCAGCGGAAAUUGGGCCGACUCAUUAGCUAUUCUCAUGGCUAAAAACAACAUACAAAGACGCUAACGUUAGCGUUGGGCUAAUACGAGCCAAGUUGGCAAACCUUACAUAUUUCAUGAAAAUAACAAAUUCC